AUGCGGUAAAUUGUAAUAUGCAAUGUCAUUGGUGUAUAGUCAAUUUUUUAUCAUAAUCAACCACAGACCAGACCAUACCGGAAAGUUAAUUAGUGAUUAGCACUUUGUUGCAAAUUACAUUUUGUAUGAGAUUAAAACAAACAAGAAUAAGGUUUCAUACACCAAUUUAACGCAGUGUAACCACUAGUUAGCUCUUGGAAUGUUGCAUCUCUAUACGGUUUGAUGGGUGACACUCUUGACUGCUCUUGGGUAACAUCUCACAUUAUCUUCUUUCUCCACCAAAAAUAGUACCAAGAGCAGAAGCAGGGAAUUGGACGACGACACGAGCACACCUGCCCAGCAAGUAUUUCAGCAACAGGUGGUGAGUGGAGGGCGAUGCCAAGACAAAUGUUCCGAAGCAUCCAAAGUCACAACCUCGUCGCAAUACCCACCAACCUAACCUAACUUCAGACAUGGACGAAAUCAUGCCCAGCCCAAGAGCACUGAGAAAUCACGCCUCCGGCAACUCCAUCGCUUACCAAAGUCUAUAUUAUCGUUUAUCGUAAAUACAUGUCCUCCAGGAUUAUCCACCAUUUUGCAAAUAACAGCAAUUAGAUCUUAGAUUUAUAAAUGCCUGACGUCGGACCCACGCCACCAUGGGUAGAGGCACACUCAUAAACAUUCGUCUUGGGUUAUAUAUUGACUAUUGAUAAUAGUUGUAAUGUUUAUUACAACUACGAAAUGGAGCCGUUGAAGUGAAAAUUGAGAAAUUUACCAAUUCAGGACAAAGCGACACUUUUAUGGCUUAUUUAUGGUUUGACUUGUAUGUUUGGUAUAAACAGAAGUCGCACGACUAGUUGUAAAUCAACGCUGACAAAUGUCAAAAUAAAUUAUUGUCACCUGAAAUGUCA